UUGACACCGUUUUUGGGCACGUGUCUGGGAUGGCAGGAUAAGGUGGCAGUACGAUGUUUACAAAGUGGGUUGCCGAUGAGGAUGGUUGCCGAUGAGGGAGAGGUUGAACGUGAUUAAGUCCACAGGCAGUAGUAUGGUGCCGAUGGCUAGAUAAGAAAGUCUGCCGAUGACUAUGGCAAAGGGUCUGCCGAUGAUGCAAAGAGGGAGUCCGGAAGCUGUCGGUCGUUAUAUGGUGGAGUUUCGGUUUGUCACGAGGGAUAGUUUUGUUAUUUCCUUAAUUAUUUACAUCGUUUUGUAUACGGAUUCCGUGUAAUUUGGAAUUCGAAUUCUAAUCGUGUCUGGUUGUAGCUCUUUGAGCAGGGUAUAAAUGUAGACCCUAGGGCCUUGUAAU
rnacentral:lncRNA from 1 species